CCCCCGGAACGGGGGAAACGGGCCGGGAUUCUUCGGGACCGGUCACUUAGUUGGGGAGCCUGUCGUUGGUAUUAGCUUGUUGGUGGGUAAAGGCCUACCAAGGCUACGAUCCAUAGCUGGUCUGAGAGGACGAUCAGCCACACUGGAACUGAGACACGGUCCAGACUCCUACGGGAGGCAGCAGUAGGGAAUAUUGUGCAAUGGGCGAAAGCCUGACACAGCCAUGCCGCGUGUGUGAAGAAGGCCCUAGGGUUGUAAAGCACUUUCAGUAGGGAGGAAUUAGUAGGGUUAAUAACCUUAUGAAAUGACGUUACCUACAGAAGAAGUACCGGCUAACUCCGUG
rnacentral:rRNA from 1 species